rnacentral:rRNA from 1 species
UCGAGGAUAUUUAGCAAUGGGGGAAACCCUGACUAUGUGACGCCGCGUGAGGGAUGAAGGCCUUCGGGUUGUAAACCUCUUUCGAUGGGGAAGAAAAUCCCGCUUUAACCGGCGGGACUGACGGUACCUAGAGAAGAAGCCAUGGCCAACUCUGUGCCAGCAGCCGCGGUAAUACAGAGAUGGCGAGCGUUACUCGGAUUUAUUGGGUGUAAAGGGCAGGUAGGCGGCUAUGCAAGUUGGGGGUGAAAUCCUGUGGCUCAACCACAGAACUGCCUUCAAAACUGCAUGGCUUGAGGCUAGCAGAGGAGAGCGGAAUUCCCGGUGUAAGAGUGAAAUCUGUAGAUAUCGGGAGGAACACCAGUGGCGAAAGCGGCUCUCUAGUCUAGCCCUGACGCUAAGCUGCGAAAGCUAGGGGAGCAAACAGG